rnacentral:tRNA from 1 species
GCCAACGUAGCUCAGCUGGCAGAGCAUCGCAUUCGUAAUGCGAUGGUCGUCGGUUCGAAUCCGACCGUUGGCUCCA